UGCAGAUACUCUACCUUUCAGAUUGACAUCUAGCAUGGUCUGUCUGGGAAUGACCCCUGAGACAUCAAUGACAGCAGCGGUGUGGAUGACCACAGAGAUGCCCUGGCAGGCUCUCUUCAGGUGUUGACUACCUAUGUCAUCAAGAAUUGUCCAGGAAGACACACAUGGAAAGCAAAUCAGCUUAGGAAGCUGUCAAAUGUGCCUGGGAUAUGAACUUGUUCAAGAGAGUGCUGGGAAGUUCAUCCAUCCACAAAGUGACUCAGGAGGUGGUUGGAUUCACAUCACUUUUAGGUUUCUAUGAAGAGAGAUGUCACACUGCUUAAACAGAUUCUUUGACAAUUGGACAGAUCAUCUCCUGACAGCGCCCUGACUACCUCAAAGAAGAUGAUGAGCAUCGAAGAAGCUCCAUAUGGAGAUGGCUUCAAAUAUGGCAAACCAGCCCCCUAGGCAAAAAAAAAUGCCCUCACUUCACAACAAACAGAAUUCUGCCCUAAAUCGGCAGACUCAAAUGCAGGCCAAGGUGACUGCUGAACUCUGCCAAGACAGGGUAAGCAAGUCCUAAAUGGUCUUUGCUUCACAUAUAUAUUUGUCAAAGAUACUGGGCCAGAAGGCUGAAGAUGAUGCUCCACCAUUAUAGAGAGUUUUGGGUGGUUGUUCAGGUAUCAAACUGUCUCUGUCAAUUUCUAUUUUUAGAGGCUACUAACACACAUAUCCUGUUUAUUUAGGGUAUAAAUUUUAUUCCUUCUUAAGUCUCUGAUAGUGUUGAGAACCAGAUGGUCUUUGUUUUACAAUUAGCUUAGUUGCUUACAAAUUAAAAAGAUGUUUUAGGUCUAGAUAGAUGUUUUUAUGUUGAUAGACACAAACUCUAAAAAUAACUGAAGCACAAACCUUAGACCCUCAUAGAUAAGAUAUUUUUCUCAAGGUUGCCAAAUGCAUUUAACUUAGAUAUUAUACAUAAUAGUCUUACCUAUUUUAAAAAUGUUUCCUAAUUUUUUUCUAGUAAAAAUGAUGCCUUUUUAUUUAGACAGAAAAAGGGGAAUUGUUGGAGGUUGGUCUGAGGUGUGUUACUGGCCCUCAAGUUCUGGGUACACCUAUCCUUGUUGUAUAAACCUACCUGAUUGGCUGCUUAAACAGCCUAUACCUUGGCAUGACAGAAUGGGGUAGGCAUGGCUAAGGUUCCCAUGCUUUGGAGCACAGGAGAUUCACGGGAAACAAAUGGACAGGAAAAGAAGAGGAAGGAGGACACUGUGAUGGAUUAGCAUGGAGAAGGAACCACAUGGGUUGGGAGAAAGGACUCUAAUAAAGGCAUGAAAGGGCCCAGAUGAAGAAUAAAUGCAUGUAUUUAUAAGAUUACAGAUAGAAGAUAUUUCAGAUGAGGAUGAUUAAGGAGAAGGGCAUUGGAUGGGAGCUGGGAGGUGGAUGGUGAGGUUAUUGAGACUGUGUAGGUGAAAUAUCUUCCUGCCCCAAUGUAAAUAACGCAAUUAUGAAAUCUAACAAGUAUCGUAUCAUUUGUGUUAAUAAAGUUAAAUAAUACUGCCACAAAAAUUAUGGGCUACUACUAAUAAUAGAAAACAUUACAUAUCCCAACACUUAGUUUUUUAUUUAGUACAACGAAGGUGCCAAAACAUCGAGCACCUGUAGAGGACACUUACAGGUGGAAUCAGCUGGAGACCAUGUGUGCUACAAGUAGCAAAGCCAUCUGCAUAGCAUUGCCCAACCCUGUUGCAACAUACUGGAUAUGGAGGGCAAAAGUCUAUCUUUACAUGUAUUGUCUACUUUCAUUCUUGCCUUUUGCAAGUCAUGCAACUCAUUUUGGACCCGAUUUAGAUAUGAGCACAGGUUUUUGGUACAAGGUUCUCAGGUAUUCUUCUAGAGUCUAGAGAGACUUGUGGGAGGAACAAUAAGUUAGUGAACAAGUACAGUCAUCAGGAAGUGUGAGCCCCUCAGCCUGUAUUUAACUUUCUCCAGCAGGCUGGAGAGUCCUUGGGAAAGGUAGCCUGAAGCAAGAGGACAUGUCUGAGGAGCUGUAUGAGACAAAGUGAGGUGUGCUGCAGAAGGGCUAGUCCUGGAGGAGCCUUGAUGUAGAUGGAGUGUUUUCAAGUGAUGGUAAAGGAUGGUUUUCUCCCUCACUGCUUCCCUUCUUCUCUCCCUCCCUACAUAUGGUCCUCUCUCCCUCUUUCUCUUUUGACCAUAGACUUCUAGUGGCUUUCUGUUUUUUGAUUCUCUUCAGGUUUUUACAACUGUCUCUUGUGUGUUUUGAAUUUAUAAAUUUUUUAACAUUAAUCACUUCAUUACACUGUAUUCACUUUGUAUCCCAGCUGUAGCCCCCUCCAUUAUCUCCUCCAUGUCCCACCCAACCCUCCCUCUUCUCCCCCUAUACCCCUACUUUUACAACUGGCUCAUGUUAAUCAGUUCUUGAAAUUCCCUUGUAUAUUUAUAGUCAAAGCAUUCUGUCUCUUGUGCACCCUUUCCUCUUGUAACAGCUAUUUGAUAACAUUUGUUUUUGCUGGACACCGUUUUUCUGUUCAGUUACUCAGAUUUGAUUGCCUUGUCAGACACUGUUGACAUAGCAGUGAUGUACGACAUAUCUUCUCAAUACAAAAAGAGGAAAAUGACACUCAGCAUAUUUGUUAGGUUAUAGCAGUUAGUUAUAGAGAAGUCAUGGAUGAUUUGUAGUGAGAAAUAUUGUAUAGUGAGGGAAUAAGUAGUUCAGAAGAAUGUGUGAGCAGAAGACACAUCUUUUGAGAGGUCCAAAAGGUGAAAUUUAAUUGCUGGGGUAACAUGUCUGUGGUCCUGGGUACAAGUUUAGACAAAGAAGCAGACAAGUUAGGAUAGACCCUUGUGCCCAGCCUUGAGGCCCUUGAAAGGCAUCAUUGCUUGGAAACCUUAAGGAUGGCCAGCAGUCUCCCACACAGCUAGCCCCUAGCUGGUGAUCAAGGUCACAUAGUCCUGCUACUAGGAAAAAAAAAUAACCAAGAUGUGCUAAUCAUGUCCCCUCUCUAACAGGAACAGAGAUGGGCCAGGACCAUUAUAGCCUUGGUGCCUAAAAUAAACAAAGGCUUGAAAGUUCCAGGCUUGUUGUAUUGCCCUUUAAAAACCCUGUUCCUCCAGACCUCAGAGCCACAUAUCUCUCUUUUUCCACAGAGAUCUUGCACCAGAGCUUGAGCUUGUAUUAAACCCUAAUGUGUUCACAGUGGAGUUGAUUCCUGGUGGUCUUUGGGGGUCUUGUGAACUGGGCAUGAGAAAUGAGACCAUCCUAGACUAGAAAGCAAAACAAUUAAACCUUGAAUAAGGUCCAGAUUAGAAAGAAAAACAACUGGGGCUACAGAACCUUGAAUAGAGAUCAGACCUGAUGUCCCUCCCUAGAGGGCAGAAUGAGCUUAUUUUGAGAACUAGGGAACCUGGGGCAGGGUGGACAGCUCUUGGAAGAAACCACAAGCUGCCAGUGGGAAAACUGUUUUUUAUGUUAUCUUUUUGCUGACCCUUCAAUGUAAAGAAACAUGUGUGAUCUGGUUUUUAGGUAUAAAAGCUCUGUGCUUUGUAUGCUCGGGGUUGUCUCCCACCUUGAAGGGGCGACUCCAUCGCAAUCAGAAUAAACUUAUGCCUCUUGCUUUUGCAUUGAA